rnacentral:rRNA from 1 species
UACGAAGGGGCUAGCGUUGCUCGGAUUGACUGGGCGUAAAGGGCGCGUAGGCGGUUCGUACAGUCAGACGUGAAAUUCCUGGGCUCAACCCAGAGCCUGCAUCCAAAACUGGCAGGCUAGAGUUCUGGAGGGGGUAGCGGAAUUCCUGGUGUAGCGGUGAAAUGCGUAGAUAUCAGGAGGAACACCGGUGGCGAAGGCGGCUCACUGGCCCGAUACUGACGCUGAGGCACGAAAGCGUGGGGAGCAAACAGG